UACGUAGGGUGCGAGCGUUGUCCGGAAUUAUUGGGCGUAAAGGGCUCGUAGGCGGUUUGUCGCGUCGGGAGUGAAAACCUUGGGCUUAACUCAGGGCUUGCUUUCGAUACGGGCAGACUAGAGGUAUGCAGGGGAGAACGGAAUUCCUGGUGUAGCGGUGAAAUGCGCAGAUAUCAGGAGGAACACCGGUGGCGAAGGCGGAUCUCUGGGCCGUAACUGACGCUGAGGAGCGAAAGCAUGGGGAGCGAACAGG
rnacentral:rRNA from 1 species